CGGAGUGUAGCGCAGCUUGGUAGCGCAUCUGCUUUGGGAGCAGAGGGUCGGGGGUUCAAAUCCCUCCACUCCGACCA
rnacentral:tRNA from 1 species